AAGUCGUAACAAGGUUUCCGUAGGUGAACCUGCGGAAGGAUCAUUAACGAAUCUGGUUUUUUAAAGUGGCCCUUUUGGACCAUAUUAACCCGGGCCCGUGCAGCGAUGCCGGGCAAGGUGUGUGUGGUGUGGGUUGGAUGGAGGGUCUUUGCGCCCAAAGACGACCUGCUCACACGCGGUGAGGAUCGCUGCCACAUAAAAGGGCAGUGAUCCGAUCCACAUGGACGCUUGUAUGUUUGACAGAGUUGGUUGACACUUAAAUGACAACUUUUAACAAUGGAUCUCUUGGCUCUU
rnacentral:misc_RNA from 1 species